rnacentral:tRNA from 1 species
AGGGGUGUAGCUCAAUUUGGUAGAGCACCGGUCUCCAAAACCGGCGGUUGGGAGUUCGAGUCUCUCCGCCCCUG